UCGAUCCUCCACUUCAAAGACGUCCUAAGCCGAGGUCGUGCCUCUUAGAGGCACCCUUGGGACGGGCGUAUACCCAGUCGUGCCCUUCAGGCCCGAAUUAGUCGGGUUGGUGCCAUCGGGCCACCCACCUCUCCCGGUGAUGCUGUAACAGCCAAUAGGGCUAACAGCAAUAGACAAUACGAAACUAAAAAAGCGACCAACAGUUCGGUUUUAAUUGGAGUGAAGUGUCAACAGAAAGAAAUAAGCACGAAAAUACAAAGCGAUGUAAUAAGUGCAUUUUAAUAGUAUUUUGGGCAGGCAAUAGUUCUAGUGUAGAUUUUAAUACGACUAGCUGGUGUCAUAUAUUUUGAUUCAAUUUCAACGUUGCAGUUGCUGUGCUAACCCGUUAAGUGCCGUGUAUAAUAGUGUUGUGAAAUCGUGCUAUGUUAAUCCUAGCCAGGAUUAUAACGCAACAUGGAGAAGCCAGGACCUAGUAAAAAACUUGAAAACGCGCAAGAGUCAGUGCAGUUAGAAAUUAUCGACAUUCAAAACGACCAAGAUUAACGCAACAAAUUCAACGAAGGAGACUUUUACCGC